AAAAACUCCAGCACCCAACAGAUACUACUCACAUCUGGGGGCUGUUUAUAACUAUGCUACCUAAUUUUCCUGGAACUAGAGUAAUUUAAUCAACUAAUUCUGCUGCAAUGGAUCUGAUGUUUUUUUUUUUUUUUUUUUUUUUUUUUUUUCCAGAAGAGAAAGUAGAUGCUGAGUGGGAGCACCUCAUGAGUGGUAGAGGUGAUGGAGCCAGCUCCCUGACAAGUCUUCUAGCACAAAGCAAUACCUAUAAGGCUGAUAAAUGAAGUGUGAAAGCACACUGUGAUGUAAACCAAAACUGCAUGGAAGACCUGACAGCAACCAGGAGGAUGGGCAGUAGGGAAUUUUCUCCAGCCUUCCAGAGCAGGCCACUGAUUCAACAGUAAGCUGGGAGAACCCAUGGAGAAUGCAGAGAAUGCUUUGCUACAUGGAAAGGAAUCCACAAGAAGGAAAACCCCCAAAUAGCCUCACCAGACUUUGGAUCAGGCCCAUGAAAAUGCUGUGCUUUGUACAACGAUCUAAGAAGGGGCAAAAUGAAUCACCUCUAUUUCUGCAGAAAGAAAAGACAGCAAGUCAUGAAGUUGCUCUAUGCCUCCUCUGGUUUCUGAGCUCAUGUCUUUGUAACAGAAGUCCUGGUAACCCUUCUCAUGAAGACCAUGCACAGAGGCCACAGAAGGUGGAAGAGUUCCAGCACCGUGAUGUGCAAAUUAAUUUCAGGAUUCAUGGCAGCUGUUGAUGCAGCCAGAGCACUCUGUGCCUCACUUAGUUAAUUCAGAGCUUUCCUUAAAAAAUCUUGUAGCUGUCAUGACUGAGAAGAAACUUAGAAGAAGACCUAAGUCUACUUUAAAUCCUCACAAGCUUUAAAAAAAUAAAUAAAUAAAAAUAAAAUAAAAAUAAAAAUAAAUAAAAAUAAAAAGCAACUGAAAACGAGAACACAAUAUUUCCUGUCUUCAGAAAUCUUUAUUACAUAUUGAAAAAAAUGAGCAUUACAGACAAGCUAGAGAGAGCAAGGUUUUAG
rnacentral:lncRNA from 1 species